rnacentral:rRNA from 1 species
UACGAAGGGGGCUAGCGUUGCUCGGAAUCACUGGGCGUAAAGCGCACGUAGGCGGACUCUUAAGUCGGUGGUGAAAUCCUGGAGCUCAACUCCAGAACUGCCUUCGAUACUGAGAGUCUCGAGUCCGAGAGAGGUGAGUGGAAUUCCGAGUGUAGAGGUGAAAUUCGUAGAUAUUCGGAAGAACACCAGUGGCGAAGGCGGCUCACUGGACCGGUAUUGACGCUGAGGUGCGAAAGCGUGGGGAGCAAACAGG